rnacentral:rRNA from 1 species
AGAGUUUGAUCCUGGCUCAGAACGAACGCUGGCGGCGCGUCUUAAGCAUGCAAGUCGAACGGCAUGAGGAAGCUUGCUUCCUCAGAGAGUGGCGGACUGGUGAGUAACACGUGGGUGACCUACCCUUGAGAUGGGGAUAGCCAUUAGAAAUAGUGGAUAAUACCGAAUACGCUCUACGGACUCUGGUUUGUAGAGGAAACAGGCUACGGCCUGGCUCGAGGAUGGGCCCGCGUCCCAUUAGCUAGUUGGUGAGGUAAGAGCCCACCAAGGCGACGAUGGGUAUCCGGCCUGAGAGGGUGUACGGACACAUUGGGACUGAGAUACGGCCCAAACUCCUACGGGAGGCAGCAGCUAAGAAUAUUCCGCAAUGGACGAAAGUCUGACGGAGCGACGCCGCGUGGAUGACGAAGGCCGAAAGGUUGUAAAAUCCUUUUGCUGAUGAAGAAUAAGCGUGGUAGGGAAUGACCGCGUGAUGACAUUAGUCGGUGAAUAAGCCCCGGCUAACUACGUGCCAGCAGCCGCGGUAACACGUAGGGGGCAAGCGUUGUUCGGAAUUAUUGGGCGUAAAGGGCAUGUAGGCGGUUUGGUAAGCCUGAUGUGAAAUCCUGCAGCUUAACUGUAGAAUUGCAUUGGGUACUGCCGAACUUGAAUCACUGAGGGGAAACUAGAAUUCCAGGUGUAGGGGUGGAAUCUGUAGAUAUCUGGAAGAAUACCGGUGGCGAAGGCGGGUUUCUAGCAGAUGAUUGACGCUGAGGUGCGAAAGUGCGGGGAGCGAACAGGAUUAGAUACCCUGGUAGUCCGCACCGUAAACGAUGUACACUAGGUGUCGGGGCAUGAGUCUCGGUGCCAAAGCUAACGUAAUAAGUGUACCGCCUGGGAAGUAUGCCCGCAAGGGUGAAACUCAAAGGAAUUGACGGGGGCCCGCACAAGCGGUGGAGC